rnacentral:tRNA from 1 species
GACGAGGUGGCCGAGUGGUUAAGGCGUUGGACUGCUAAUCCAAUGGGGUCUCCCCGCGUGAGUUCGAAUCUCAUCCUCGUCG